CCCCUGGGUGUCCCCGUGCCACCCGGGGCUGGGGCGUCUGGGUGUCACCUGCCCCCUGGGGUGUCCCCAGGUCCCCUGGGUCCCCCCAUGUCAGCCUGGAUUGGGACAUUUCGGUGUCCCUUGGGUGACCCCUGUCCCCUGGGGUAUCCCCGUGUCCCCUGGGUGUCCCCCUGUGCCCUGGGGUGUCCCCGUGUCACCCUGGAUUGGGACAUUUUGGUGUCCCUUGGGUGUCCCCACGUCCCCUGGGGUGUCCCCAGGUCCCCUGGGUGUCCCCCUGUGCCCUGGGGUGUCCCCGUGCCACCCAGGGCUGGGGCAUCUGGGUGUCACCUGCCCCCUGGGAUGUCCCCGUGUCCCUGGGGUAUCUCCCUAUUACCCUGUACAGGAACGUUCUGGUGUCCCCGUGUCCCCUGGGGUGUCCCCGUGUCCCCUGGGUCCCCCCGUGACACCCUGGAUUGGGACAUUUCGGUGUCCCUUGGGUGUCCCCACGUCCCCUGGGGUGUCCCCACAUUACCCUAGGUUGGGACGUUCUGGCGUCCCCGUGUCACCCUGAGCGUCCCCGUGUCACCCUGAGCGUCCCCGUGUCACCCCGCGGCUGGGCCCGUCCCGCUGCCACCCUCGGCUGGGGACCUCUCGGUGUCCCCCGCGCUGUCCCCAGCGGGAGGGGACUCAGCGAGCCCAGCGGCUCCAAAAAGCUCCAAAAUCGGCUUUUUUUAUUACAAA
rnacentral:lncRNA from 1 species